AGUGGAGGGCUGUAGUAAUUUAUUGAACAACUAUUAAACAAUGUUUAAUAUUAAUAAUGUUGCACAGAGCUUGGCCUUACCUUAGCCAAUAAUGAUUAUAAUGAAGUCCCUUAAGGAACGACUUUAAUGCAGCUUGCUGACAUAGAUGUUAAUAAUUUAUUUAAUAAUUGUUAAACUACAUUCAAUGUUGGUAAUGUUUCACAUUCAUUAGCCAUAUAUUAGGGCCAUAUGUGUGCAUUAUGCGCACUCUCCGUCGCUUGCUCUCUUAAGAGCGUAAUUAUUAUUCAUUUUGCUUUGGGCGCUAUUCGCAAUCGUUUAAUACACACGGAUGUUCAGCCAAGCAUGAGAAUAGGCUCUAAUGUUUUCUACGAUUUCCUAAGAGAAAUAUCAUAUAGAGAACCGACAAAUGUAUUUAUUCACUUCGCAUGAGAACUAUAUUAAAUAUCAUUGGAAUGCUUCCUGCUCCCUGCUCUCGUUUUUCCAUUAGACAAUCGGAGGAAUACGGAAUUGUGGCUGAAAUCAAGUAAUCUAUUGAACGCGCCAUUCUUAAAGUUAAUCGAAAUAUGUAACGAGCCGUGAGAUGUUUUAAAAUAUUAACCAUGUUGCUCAGUGUUUGUUAGUUGGUCACAAAUGAACAGGCAAUAUAUAGUUAUUAACAAGAUGAAAAACGUUAAUCAGGGCGCCGGCAGCCCGCCUGGGAUUAGGGGCUUGUCAGCAUAUGCGGGUCGGUGGCUUGCAGAGGUACUGUAAAAUAUGGCAGACUCUCCAAGCGACGCUUCAUCAUACCACAAAGCUCAGACAAUGGCGUACAAAGUCAGUCAUCAAAAUGGAGUCCAUGCUAAUGCCUCCAACCCCAGCCCGCACCCCCAACCGCAGGCACAGCGUGAUUCAAUGACAACGGCAACAUUUGUGUGCAUGCAUAGAAUAUUCUCUCGGUUGAUGAUAACAAAAUGUGGGUUGUGACAGAAAGAGACAGAGAGAGAGAGAGAGAGAGAGAGACAGCGAAAGUGAGAGAGAGAGAGAGAGUAUCAAGGAGCUGCGACAGUGGGUCUGGCCUGAUGUUUUAGGGCGAGCUACACAAAAUUUAUGUUUACAUACCCCGCUAUUCAUUUUGGCGUCGUUGUAAGUGCGGGCUCUUGCGGUAUAUUAAGUGGGUAGCAUCAACUUGGAGACGCUGCUCAGCAUUUUAUUUAAAUAAUAAAUAAUUUUGUCGACAUGAAUGAAUGAAUGAAGAGUUUUAUCUGGCUAUGGGUGCGCCACAAGCUUCAGCUUGAGUAAGUUUUUUUUUUCUUUCUUACUCCCGGUCUUUGGCUACCGUCUGCGAGAGGGUGUCUGUGUCUGUGUCUGUGUGUGUGUGAGAGUGUGAGUGUGAGUGUGUGCACUGAUUUAGGUUGGAAGCUUGUGCCAGAGCUUUGCCAUAAAUUACUAAAACGAAUUAAGCGAAACUUACUAAACGAGCGCUCAAUUGGCUGCCCAAAAAGUUGACCACGUAUUUUAAUCAGUGACUACAAAUGGCGCACAAAAAAGAGAAAGGGGCGCAAGGACGUCCGACGCGGAUGUCGGCACACGGAACAUGGCACAUGGUACGUGGGUGGAGCGGCAAGGGACAUUAACAUGCAGCCGGGUAACUGCCAGACAAUAAUCAAGUUUGGCGCUGAUUUCAUUGAGCCAAAGUAACACGACUUCAGGAUUAGUUUUCAAGCACCAGGUGCAGAAGGGAGAGAAAGGACUGAGACCAGCAUCUAAUGCACCACAAAGAGGCAGCCAACCACUUAAAGAUUAAGUGCAGAUUCAGCCAGGCGCGACUCGAGCGAAUGGGAGCAAGUUAAGGCAAAAGCCAGGCAGCAGACUGGGGGAAGGCAGAGAGGUAGAGAGGCAGGGGGGCACUCUGAAGGCUUAGAAGUGGGGGCAAAGCUGCUUGCCAAAGUGCGGAUUGGGGCAGAUUUGUUGGCUGGCUGAGCUGAGAGCGAUGGGGUUGUGGGAGGGAGACUCGCUUUGGGUUCACUCAAACAAAGCUAAUUAACAGAUUUGUCAGCUUUUCAUCACUUCGCGCACGGCCAUUGUCUUACGACAGUUGUUUGACUUUUGCACUUUUUUAAGAGACAAACAAAAAACAAUGAGCGACGCACAACAACAACGAAAGGCAAGCCAGCAACCUGGUCGGGGGCGUGACUGAAAAAAAGUAACUGCAAAGAAUGCAAAGUAUUGUACACAAAGUGCGCCCAGACGAUACGGGUAUCGACACACACACACACACACAUAUAUAUAUAUUGAGAAGAAACUCCUUCAAUUGCUAAUUACAAAGGGAAGAAAGUUGGUUACAAAAGUCGGUGGGUGGCAGUGGGAGGGAUUUGUGGAACUUGGCAACUUGUUAGGCCAGCAAUUUAACUGGAAAUUUAUUAGAGACGAAACAGCUGGCAGCAGCAAACAUUACAAGCUAAUUGGCCCAGUUAACAGAAAUGUGGGCCGGCAAGUGCGCAUCACAGACUUUAAAACCAACUAAACUAAAACUAAAACUGAAAACCAAAAACCAAAAACCAAAAACCAAAACCAACGGCGAGCCAAGCGCAACGCACCAAAGACGAAGGCUAUAAAAGAAAAAAA